rnacentral:rRNA from 1 species
UACAGAGGGUGCGAGCGUUAAUCGGAAUUACUAGGCGUAAAGCGCGCGUAGGCGGCUUUGCAAGUCGGGUGUGAAAUCCCCAGGCUCAACCUGGGAACUGCAUUCGAGACUGCAUUGCUAGAGUAUGGGAGAGGGAAGUGGAAUUUCAGGUGUAGCGGUGAAAUGCGUAGAUAUCUGAAGGAACAUCAGUGGCGAAAGCGACUUCCUGGACCAAUACUGACGCUCAUGUGCGAAAGCGUGGGGAGCAAACAGG